UGGAAACCCUUGUUUGUUCCUGAUUUUAGAGGAAAAGAUUUCAGCUUUUUACUGUUGAGUAUGAUGUUAGCUGUGGGCUUGUCACAUAAAGCCUUCGUUAUGUUGAGCCUAGAAGCAGAAAGGAAGACUGAGCCAGAACGCGGAGUCUUCAAUAAAUGAUGGAGCAAGACAGGAAGUUUGGAAGAUGACAGCAAUGUGGAAAGAAAGUGUGCAGUAGGAGGUAGCCUCUGGACUGCUCCAUGUACAUUGUUGAUCAAGAGCUUGAAAGUGAAAAAGAACAUCAUAUUAUUAUGAAAAUAGAUUUGACCUCCUGGAACCACUUGAAAGGGUCAAAAUAAUUAUUUUUUCUAAGGGACAGCAUUUUGAGAGACUCUUUCCUUAGAGGAUCUUCUUGGUAUUACAGGGUCAUGCCCUCUCUUCCUGCAAACUUAGGGCUACUCCAAAGACCUGUUCUUGCUUCUCUGGGUCAAGGGUAAAGUCAAGUUUCCAAGACUCGGAGACAUGAUUGCUUUCUGAGAACAGGUUGAAGUAAACACUUCUUGUUCUUUUUUAGUGAAACACCCACAGAACUCAUGGCAGUUUCUUAGAUUAAGCCACUACAGAAGAAUGGCAGGUGUUAUUGGUUGAGGGUAGAUGGGGAAUGGUUUGAAAGCAACCGACAGAGAGGGGAAGAGGUGGUAAAUGAGCCCCUUGCGAGGGCUCAGGACACAUCCAUGUCCCCACUAAAGCUGGGCAGUUUGAAUCCUAUUAGACUCCACGCUGGUUUUCUCCUUGCAUAAUCUUUUCCAGAAAUUUCUCCUUCACAGUCAUAAUGUGGACUGAUAAAUGGACUUACUAGCCUCUCUCUUUUAUCCGUUUUUCCAGACUAGCAUCUCUUUCUAUCCACUUGAACUCUUGCUAGCUGUGUGGCCUUGAGCACCUCUCUAAACCCCACUUUCCCCAACUUGCAAAAUGGGAGAUUGUGGUGGUAUCCAUUCCAGAAGACUGUGCAGGCACAUAAGAAAAUGCAUGCAAAUUCCCCAGCAUAGUUCAAGUCUGGGACACGACAGACAUUCACUUCACAUUAGUCAUUAUCAAUGGGCAUCUCUGGUGAGGCCUCUGCGAGGCCUAAGAGCUCAUUGAGGCUUCUUCUUUAAUAUAGGGCUUUUACUCUCUAUCCUCUCGAUAGUCCUUUUAAAGGCCUCCGCCAUGCUACUGAUUCCCGUUUUGUGUCUAUCAUAUCAGGGGCUGGGAAGCCUUUGAGCAUCUCCUUACUGUGCCUGCAUCUUCUGUAUUUAUCUAAUUAUCUUGGUCUGCAAGCCAUCACCAUCCCAUCAUGUCUCUUUGCUUUCUUACUGUUUCUCCUCAUUCAUUUUAAACCACGACUGGCUUUAGGCCCAUAGUAAAAUCACCCUGGGUUACAAAGCAAGUUCAGAAACACAAAGCCAUUUCUAUACGGAUCAUUUCUGCUGAACCACUUUCACCCUGGCUUGUUGGGAUUGGGGGAGGGUGCUUGUGGCCACAACGGCUGCAGUUCUGCCCCCCUCGCCCCCCCCACCCGGGGGCCCAGUUCCUCCAAGGCGCAAUGAGCUGGACCACCCACUCAGUCCCAAGGUCUGCUCCAUCCUUUGCCCAGCUGCUCAGAUCUGAGGCUAAUCUGGCGGAAAACAGGACCUGCAUUUAGUUAGCGAGGACCAGCUCUUAAACGCUCUCUCACGGACCCUCCAAUACUCUGUCCUCCCUUUCUUUCAUGAAUUCGUGUUUAUAAAGAAACAGACUAUCUUAAAAAAAUCCUUUUCUUUGGUUUCAUAUCCCAAGCUACUUGUCAAAGUAUGUUGACAAAGUUGUCAAAACAACAGGAUUAUUUAGGGAAUGGUGUGUCAGUCAUGCAUCUAACAUCUAUUUCUUCAGAGCGUCCCAUGUAAUGGACACAAUUCUCCGUUCUGGAGCUCUGGCAGUGAGCAGUGCAGACACAGUCCCUUCUCUGAUGGGAGAGGAUGAAGGGCAGAAAUCACAAAGGGAAACCAAGCAGAAAGUAGCCCAGAGGCCAGCGGUGCUAUGUGGAGAUCUUGGUUGGUCGCCACAGAAACCGACUUUGUUUUAACAGAAGGCAAAAAGAAGGAUUUUAUUGGGAACGCAUGGUAUACUCAAAGAAUGAAAGGAGAGGCUGAAGAACCAGGGUUUGGGAGCUCCCAUAACAGAAUCACUUGGAGGAUCUCGGACACCAUAAGUGUCUUUCCGCAUCCCCACUCAAGACAGUCGGCUCUGGUCAAAAUGCCAGAGAGAAAGUGGCUGUCUGGUCCAGCGUGAGUCACAUGCCCACAUCUUGGUCAGGGGAGGGAGGGCCAUCUGGCUUGACUGUCCCUCCAGGGUUCUCUCCAAUGAUGACAUGGUAACUCCCCCAAGGGAAACUGGGGUGCUGUUGCAGAAGUAGGAGAGAUGGACACGUGCAGACAAAAAGAAGAGACACCCCUUGUUGUAAAGCAGUUUACCUAGCUGAGGCCUGGGGUUUUAGCUCGUGCCGGGGUUCCAAAAACAGAUGUACUUUCGGUUUGCAUUACUUAGAUCCGCCUAGGUUUCAAAGGUUCACCAACCCCACAGUCCCCGUAGUGGUGAAAAUGGGACUGAGAAUUUAGGAUUUUGAGAAGGAUACUGACAAUUAAGAUUUUAUUAAGGGCAAUCAGGAUGGCAAAGGAUCUGGAAAAACUGAUCUAUGAAGAAUACUUAAAGAAGCUUCUGUAACAAUCUGGAGCCCCUAUAAAAGAUGUUAGUUGUCUCACCCUUGUGAUGUGUUCUAAAUGAGUUGAAUAAUAUUCCCUCUUUAAUGGUACUUUGUUAUAAAAUCUUAGUCUAUUGGGAGUGCAGACCGGCACAGCCACUCUGGAAAACGGUAUGGAGGCGCCUCAAAAGUUAGAAAUUGAGCUACCCUACGACCCAGCAAUUGUACUACUAGAUAUUUACCCAGAGGAGACAAAAAUAUGGAUUUGAAGGGGCACCUGCACUCUGAUGUUUACAGCAGCAUUAUCGACAAUAGCCAAACUAUAGAAAGAGCCCACGUGUCCAUCGACUGAGGAGUGGAUAAAGAAGACACAGUAAGUCAGUCAGAGAAAAACAAAUACCAUAUGAUUAUACUCAUAUGUGGAAUUUAAGAAACGAAACAGAUGAACUGAGAGGAAAGAAAAAAAAAAAGAAAGGGAGGCAAACCGUAAG